rnacentral:rRNA from 1 species
UGAGAUCUCCCGGAGGCUUGACCUCCCUGAAGGGUCGUGGAAGACCACCACGUUGAUAGGCCGGGUGUGGAAGCGCAGUAAUGCGUUAAGCUAACCGGUACUAAUUGCCCGUGCGGCUUGAUCCU